GGCAUUGAGCACAGACUGAAUUACUCAGUGACGCUUGGAUCAGGUCAGAUCAAAUUCUCAAGCAAACAGAUGGCUGGGGAUAUUCAGUAGCAACGGUGAGGAGAGAGAGGAACAAUUCACAUUUCAAGGGACCCUUCCUCAAAACGGUCUGUUCUGAAGGAACUUUCCCGCAGAAAUCACUGGACUGAAAGCUUCUGGCAACAAAUGGCCACAAACCGAUCAAAGGUGAAAGUGACGGUGAACCAGACAGAGCAGUCAGUGGCUGCAUAAAGCAGGACGGCGUGGAUAUUACACACGGGGACGGAGUCCCUCAGGAAAUAAACCUGUUCCCGAUAAACAAUGGGAAUGUGUCUCAGGAUCAGGUCGAGGAUAAUGACCAGGAGAUCCGCCGCUGCCAUGGCCCCCAGAAACAGGCUUUUAGUCAAGAAAAGCUGUAAAGAAUGUGAAGAGGCCAUUCCACAGAAGCAGCAGUUAAGCACAGAGCUAUUGGAGCCUGUUACUCUGGAGCAGGAGGAGGACAUCUACUUUCACAAAACUUUGCUUAGGAGGAAGUCGCCCAGCUGCUGAAACCUGGUACACGGAGACA